GUGCUCACUCCGGCAGCACGUAUACUAAAGUGGAUCGAUACAGAGAAGAGUUGCACUGCCCUGGCACAAGGGUGGCAAGCACAUUCAUGAAGUGUUCCAAAAUUGU
rnacentral:snRNA from 1 species